rnacentral:rRNA from 1 species
GCACGCGCGCUACACUGACAAAAUCAGCGAGUUUAUUUCCUUGGCCGGAAGGCCCGGGCAAACUUUUGAAAUUUUGUCGUGCUGGGGAUAGAACAUUGCAAUUAUUGUUCUUCAACGAGGAAUUCCUAGUAAGCGCAAGUCAUCAGCUUGCGUUGAUUACGUCCCUGCCCUUUGUACACACCGCCCGUCGCUACUACCGAUUGAAUGGUCAUAGUGAGCAUGUGGGAUCACCCGAACCAGGAUGGCAACAUCCAGGUUUGGGAGAGAACUAUGGCAAACUAGAUUAUUUAGAGGAAGUAAAAGUCGUAACAAGGUUUCCGUAGGUGAACCUGCGGAAGGAUCAUUAAAAAUGCCGGUCACUCUCCUAGAGUUGGCUUCAUUUUUUCCUGUGCUCUGUUUAUGAAUGGAGUGCCCCCAAAAAAAAAUUGAUUUUUUUUCUCGGGACACUCUUGCCCGGGG